rnacentral:rRNA from 1 species
CAGCAGCCGCGGUAAUACGAAGGGUGCAAGCGUUACUCGGAAUUACUGGGCGUAAAGCGUGCGUAGGUGGUGGCUUAAGUCCGUUGUGAAAGCCCUGGGCUCAACCUGGGAAUUGCAGUGGAUACUGGGUCACUAGAGUGUGGUAGAGGAUAGUGGAAUUUCCGGUGUAGCAGUGAAAUGCGUAGAGAUCGGAAGGAACAUCUGUGGCGAAGGCGACUAUCUGGGCCAACACUGACACUGAGGCACGAAAGCGUGGGGAGCAAACAGGAUUAGAUACCCGCGUAGUCCCUGUCUCUUAUAC